rnacentral:ncRNA from 1 species
CUUAUCAAGAGCGGCGGAGGGAACAGGCCCUGUGAAGCCCGGCAACCUGCAUGUGUAAGGUGCCAAAUCCUGCGGGAAACCGAAAGAUAAG